GUAGCCAGAACCGCCUUUUAAAAAACUUUGGAUCAGCUUGGUGGCUGGUUCUGAUCCAAAAUGCCAUUGAGAUUGUAGAAAGUAGGUAGUAUGGCUAGAGCAACAGGUGCAAGAAGUCAACUUUGGCCUCAUUAUUGAAGACUAAUCAUUGGGGGGGGGUGCAAAAAACAUAAGGAGAGAGGGAAAGUGAGAGAUCAAAGAUUAGAAUGCAGAGUCGUUCUUGAAUUCAUCAAGAAGGUUAGCACAUUAUGAAUAACAUCUUUGAAUCUACUUUUGUUCAACAAACCACUUCUGAAUAUUUAAAAUGCAAUUAGUGAUUUAGUUUUCUAAUAUACAUUUCCUGGAAGACAGUUGGAUCUAAUCAACUCUGCCUAAAAACAUUUUUUUAGAAUUUAUAAGUAACGGUGAUCCAUAUAAUGUAAACUGAAGCCUCAUUAUUAAUGGGGUUCUUAAAUGACCUAAUACAUGUAACAUGCUUAGAAUAGUGCCUGGCACAUGGCAGUAAUACAUAAGUGUUGGCUAGUAUUAUCAUGUGACUAUUAAGCUCUCAUAGGGCAAAUAAAAUAGAACAAGGUUUGCUCUGAGCUCCUGCCACCUUAAUGAAUUCAUUUUCAGGUGCGCCAAUAGCCAUCUCUGAUUCUUUCUGAGAUAAUGCAAUGUUGAAAAAAAUCUCAAUAUUCAUAUGUGAAAAAUAAAAAGUAGAGCUUUUAUGCUUUCUAUUUAUUCAUUCAACACACAGUUGACAAAUGAAAUGUUUAGCGUUGUCAACUUUCUAUAACUGUUUCUUAGUGAAUCACGAAAAGUUAUAAUAAACAAAAAAAUCUAGUAGCAUAAAACAUUCGUUUGAGAUAAAUGUUUCACAAAGCUGAAAGAUAAAAUAUUGAUAUUUUUAAUUGAUAGUAAUUUUGAAAUGAUACUUUUGCAUUUUGGUCAGUUACUGUGAGAAAGCAUAUUAAGUAAUCUUGUGAUACCUAAUAUUAAGCCAAAUUGUUACUGUAAUAUAAUGUGUGUCACAUCUAGAUAUGUUACUCAUAUAGGUAUGUAAGUUCUUAGGGCGGUACUGAAAACUGUUAAGGAGGUUACAAAUAAAGUCUAAGCCAUGUUUCCUGUUACUGUUAUUAAUCAGCUUUUUAGCAUUCUUGGAUAAUGAUUUCCCUGGAAGUUUUUUACCAAGCAUCCCCCGCUCAUUUGUAUCAUUUUAGUAUAAUUCUGUUUUUGUGUUCUUUGUCCAUCUUAGGUGCUCAAUUAAUAUUGUUAAUGUUAUUAUUGUCUCAUCAGAUCACAGUUAUGAUCUCUAUAAUUUAACCACUUUAUGUGUUUUUUAAAACCAUCUUUCAAUUGUCAUAUACCGUGAUGUCCAACACUUAUAAUCAUAAAGUUAAACCCACAGCAAUCAUUACUAAAUCUAUAUUAGGAUUCUCCUCACACUUGAUUUCAUAUGCAACCUCUAUAAGUAUUCAAACUAAUACUAAAAUACUUCAGUAGUUUUCCACCUGGAUGUACAUGAAAAUCAUGUGGCAUUUUUCCCCCAAUGUCCAGGGACCAUCUCAAACCAAAUUAAAUCAGAAUCUCCGGGAAGUAGCCCUAUGCAUUGCAUGUUUAGAAGUUUCUUGGGUGAUUCUAAUAUGUACCUAAGUUGAAAGUCAGAUGAAGAAUAUUCUGCUUUUAGAAGUAAGUAUGUAUAAUAUGAAAGACUUGAAAACUCAAAUAUAAAAGGGCUUGCUUGUGUAAGGGAUAAGUUUUGCCAAAAAAAAAAAAAAAUUAACAUUCCUUUUAGCCAGGUGUGGGAACAAAGCAGUGUUCCUUGGUACAGUGGGGAAUACAGGAAUCACAAACCAAUGAGCUUAUAAUCAAGCAAAAGGAAAAUGUAUCAGCUAAGUCAGUUUGCUAGUCCUCUACUCUUAACUGUGCUCAAUCUCACUUUCUCUCUAUCUCUGUCUUUCUCUUUCUCUCUGACUUUUGCUAUUAGAACAAGAAAAACUGAAUCUGACACUGUUCCUUUUGCUAGUGCUAACCAGCAUUAGCGUAGAUAUUAUGAACUAAUGAUGGGACAUGUCACUUCUCUGUCACUGGAAGAAAUUCAGACACUUGCCUGUCAUGAGCCGACCUCGGUGUGGCUUUUGCUGUCGCGAUGCUAGGUGUGUGGCCCGGCGGGCCACAGGAGCGCAUCUGGGAGCCGAUCCUGCAAUGAAUGGCUGGUGAUGCUGAACUCCACACACACGUGCCUGAGAAUGACAUGAAUAUAUUUAUUGCAGAGCUAAAAAAAGCCAAGUUUAGAAUCGAGCCAGCCCAGGCGGCAGCACACGGAGAAGAAGAAUGAACUGAAAUGAAAGCACAAUCUGGAAGAAUAACUUCAAAACAAUGCAGCAGGAUGAGAGCCCCGCUGCUACCAUUUAUGAUUCCCUCAAAGCCUGGCGCUCACAUCCGUCUGCUUUAACGCCACGCGCACUCCCAGGCGAUGGGCCGCUCAGGGGGCGCAGGCUCUGGGUUCUCCUACGGGAACGCGGAGAAAAUCAAUUUCAAUCCUCCAAGGAUGAUAUACACGGCACCCGGAGGUCACCAAACCCCAUCACUUCUCUGAGACCCUUGAGACUUGAGAGGAGAUUUCCCAAAAUUACCACACCUCAAAUUUUGGCCCUUUGGUUGAAAGCAUAUACUGCAUUUUCUCUUUCUGCUCCUUUUUACCUAUAGAGGUGGGAGGAGCGGGGAGAGACAGGUACAAAUACGGAGGACGAUCGGAACAUUCAGAGCCAAAAACGUCUGUUUUGACAAUGCAUCCCAGCGGUUGGAAUCACGUCAGUUAGAAGGACUGGCUGCUGUACCGGUCCACAUAAGAAAAACUGAUGUGCAUGUUUGGGGGGAAAAUCCAAUUCUUUCGCCGUUGAUUACAGGCACUAUUGUUUUGAUUAAUGCCCGGGCAAAUUAAGUGCUUUAGUAAGAUUUAGAAUGAUCAGUAAAGGAGUCAUAAGGUAAGAAGCAUGAAACUUACGUGUGUGUGUGGGGGGGGGGGGGGGGGUCACACCUCCUCCUUUACUCCUUAGGUGGCCUAGCUUAAUUCAUUUCUUUCCUACAAACCUAUUUUCUCAUCUAUAUAAGGGGAUAGAAUGUCCAGCUUACCAAUAUUAAAAACUUGUAACGAGCAUCAGAUAAGAAAAGUGUAUGCAUGAAUGUUUUUAGGUGGAAAUGUUAUAAACGUAAGAUAUUAUUCGAUUUAUUUUUUGAAAAUCUGAAAUUAAUGCCUUAAAGGAACAGGCUUUUUGAUUGUGGUGGGGGUUGGAGGGUGGAAACAGUGGGGAAGUCAGGAGACAUAUUGAGAAAGUGAACUUAGACUGGAUGGUGGAGAGUCAAGGCACCAACGCCCUGAGGAGUUUUGAAUUACCAGAGGGGGACGACCUAAGAUGGUGAGACAGGAGGAUCAUGAGAGGAAACUUUAUCUACUUAAAAAAAAUUAUACAAAUUCCAGGUGGAAAAUAGACAGGGAUAUUACACGGUGAAACAACACAGAGGAUACAAUACAGAGAUCCCCUUACAGGUUAAGCAUAAUCAGAAGACGCAUGGACUCUUUCAAGUUGCACAAAUUUGCAAAGACUUUGACUUCUUUCAAAGUUAUGUAACACAAAGUGCCCAAUCAUCAUCCCCCAAGCAUAUUUAGCAAGUGCUCAUUUGUCUGCAGAGCUAAUGGGUGACAUCCAUGGACUGGGAAACUGAUUUCAGUUUUGUGUAUGGGCCCAGCUCUUCAUAUGCUAUAGGAAAUGGAAGGGAGUUUUUAUGAGAUUUGCAGAGACAAUAAAGUUAAUGCUUAAACUCUG